AGUGAACGCUGGCGGUAGGCCUAACACAUGCCAGUCGAACGGCAGCACAGUAAGAGCUUGCUCUUACGGGUGGCGAGUGGCGGACGGGUGAGGAAUACAUCGGAAUCUACUUUUUCGUGGGGGAUAACGUAGGGAAACUUACGCUAAUACCGCAUACGACCUACGGGUGAAAGCAGGGGAUCUUCGGACCUUGUGCGAUUGUAUGAGCCGAUGUCGGAUUAGCUAGUUGGCGGGGUAACGACCCACCAAGGCGACGAUCCGUAGCUGGUCUGAGAGGAUGAUCAGCCACACUGGAACUGAGACACGGUCCAGACACCUACGGGAGGCACCAGUGGGGAAUAUUUGACGAUGGGCGCAAGCCUGAUCCAGCCAUACCGCGUGGGUGAAGAAGGCCUUCGGGUUGUAAAGCCCUUUUGUUGGGAAAGAAAAGCAGCAGGUUAAUACCUCGCUGUUCUGACGGUACCCGAAGAAUAAGCACCGGCUAACUUCGUG
rnacentral:rRNA from 1 species